CCAAUCGAUGUCGACAGAGUUUGAUCCUGGCUCAGGACGAACGCUGGCGGCGUGCCUAAUACAUGCAAGUCGAGCGGAACCUUUGGAGCUUGCUCCAUCGGUUUAGCGGCGGACGGGUGAGUAACACGUGGGCAACCUGCCCUGCAGAUCGGGAUAACUCCGGGAAACCGGUGCUAAUACCGAAUAGUUUGUUUCACCUCCUGGUGAAGCACGGAAAGACGGUUUCGGCUGUCACUGCAGGAUGGGCCCGCGGCGCAUUAGCUAGUUGGUGGGGUAAUGGCCCACCAAGGCGACGAUGCGUAGCCGACCUGAGAGGGUGAUCGGCCACACUGGGACUGAGACACGGCCCAGACUCCUACGGGAGGCAGCAGUAGGGAAUCUUCCGCAAUGGACGCAAGUCUGACGGAGCAACGCCGCGUGAGUGACGAAGGUUUUCGGAUCGUAAAACUCUGUUGUGAGGGAAGAACACGUACCAAGUAACUACUGGUACCUUGACGGUACCU
rnacentral:rRNA from 1 species